rnacentral:misc_RNA from 1 species
GACAUUCGUCUCGAGGUGAUGCGGUGUCAUGUUGCCUGUGUAUCCUGGUAUUGAGCUAUUUAGCUUAAAACAUGUGGAUUUUCGGUUUGUGACACGGCAUCGCUCCCUUGGUUGAUGAAAGUCGUCCAACGAUGCGGUGGUUUGUUUGUUUUCUUCUCGCAUCGCUCGGUGCAUUCUGUGGUCAUUUUGGCUGUUGGCAUCUUACUUGGCAAUUGAGCUUGGUGGGUUGCUACUGGUUGGGUGUCUUCGGGGAUGUCUACCGUAAAGGUGCAUGAGUGGUGUUUGGUUUGUUACGGGUGGUUGGCUCUUUGCUUGCGCAACAACUUCCACCCGGCAUACCUCUUCAGUCUUGUGUCAAUGCUUGUAUUGCAUUGAAUGCAUGGUGGGUUUCUUGUGUUGCAUGCCUAAUUAAUGGUAUCCCUUGAUGAAUUGGUUUUCCUUUCGUCUUGCAUUGCCUAUGCGAUGUGAGAUGAAUCUUGAAGCAGCCUUUGUGAUCCACUCUUUUGAUGCAUACGCAUUGAUUUUGUGGCCCAUUGAGUGUUGCUUGGUCUCAUGGAUAUGGAACCUGGUGUGGGCAUGGAAUCUUAAUGGUUCCUUGUUUGCCCAAGUUUAGCUUUUCUAAAACGAUUGUCUAUCA